UCAAGCGACUAAGUGCAUCUGGUGGAUGCCUUGGCGAUGAUAGGCGAAGAAGGACGCGUUAGCCUGCGAAAAGCACGGGGGAGCUGGCAAAUAAGCAUUGAUCCCGUGAUAUCCGAAUGGGGAAACCCGGCCCUUUUGGGUCAUCCAUGACUGAAUACAUAGGUCAUGAGAAGCGAACUCGGCGAACUGAAACAUCUAAGUAGCCGAAGGAAAAGAAAUCAACCGAGAUUCCCAAAGUAGUGGCGACGAAAUGGGAAGAGCCUGCAUGUGAUAAAUCAAACUUUAGUGGAACAGUCUGGAAAGUCUGGCGACAGUGGGUGAUAGCCCCGUACACGAAAAAGAUUGGUUGGUACUAAGCAUGCGACAAGUAGGGCGGGACACGAGAAAUCCUGUUUGAAGAUGGGGGACCAUCCUCCAAGGCUAAAUACUCAUCAUCGACCGAUAGUGAACCAGUACCGUGAGGGAAAGGCGAAAAGAACCCCGGGAGGGGAGUGAAAUAGAACCUGAAACCGGAUGCAUACAAACAGUGGGAGCCCUUGCAAAAUGGGGUGACUGCGUACCUUUUGUAUAAUGGGUCAGCGACUUACGUUCAGUAGCAAGCUUAACCGAGUAGGGGAGGCGUAGGAAACCGAGUCCGAAUAGGGCGCAUAGUUGCUGGGCGUAGACCCGAAACCAAGUGAUCUAUCCAUGGCCAGGAUGAAGGUGCGGUAACACGCACUGGAGGUCCGAACCCACUAAUGUUGCAAAAUUAGGGGAUGAGCUGUGGAUAGGGGUGAAAGGCUAAACAAACUUGGAAAUAGCUGGUUCUCCUCGAAAACUAUUUAGGUAGUGCCUCAUGUAUCACUGACGGGGGUAAAGCACUGUUAUGGCUAGGGGGUCAUCGCGACUUACCAAACCAUGGCAAACUCUGAAUACCGUCAAGUGCGAGCAUGGGAGACAGACUGUGGGUGCUAACGUCCAUGGUCAAGAGGGAAACAACCCAGAUCGCCGUCUAAGGUCCCAAAUAAUCAGUUAAGUGGAAAACGAGGUGGGAAGGCAUAGACAGCCAGGAUGUUGGCUUAGAAGCAGCCAUCAUUUAAAGAAAGCGUAAUAGCUCACUGGUCGAGUCGUCCUGCGCGGAAGAUGUAACGGGGCUCAAACUGAUAACCGAAGACGCGAAUAUGCACGAUGUGCAUAUGGUAGAGGAGCGUUCCGUAGGCCUGCGAAGGUGUCUUGAGAAGGAUGCUGGAGGUAUCGGAAGUGCGAAUGCUGACAUGAGUAGCGAUAAUGCGGGUGAAAAGCCCGCACACCGAAAACCCAAGGUUUCCUGCGCAACGUUCAUCGGCGCAGGGUGAGUCGGCCCCUAAGGCGAGGCAGAAAUGCGUAGUCGAUGGACAACGGGUUAAUAUUCCCGUACCGAUAUAAAGUGCGAUGGGGGGACGGAGAAAGGUAGGUCAGCCCACUGUUGGAAUAGUGGGUUUAAGCGAGUAGGCGUGUGGCUUAGGCAAAUCCGGGCUGCUUUAACGCUGAGACGUGACGACGAAGUCUUCGGACUGAAGUGAUUGAUCCUAUGCUUCCAAGAAAAGCCUCUAAGCUUCAGCUUUAUAUUGACCGUACCGCAAACCGACACAGGUGGGUAGGAAGAGAAUUCUAAGGUGCUUGAGAGAACUCAGGAGAAGGAACUCGGCAAAUUAUCACCGUAACUUCGGGAGAAGGUGAGCCCAUAUUAGGUGAAGGCCCUUGCGGCUGGAGCUGACAUGGGUCGCAGAGAAAUGGGGGCUGCGACUGUUUAUCAAAAACACAGCACUCUGCAAAGUCGAAAGACGACGUAUAGGGUGUGACGCCUGCCCGGUGCUGGAAGAUUAAAUGAUGGGGUGCAAGCUCUUGACUGAAGUCCCAGUAAACGGCGGCCGUAACUAUAACGGUCCUAAGGUAGCGAAAUUCCUUGUCGGGUAAGUUCCGACCCGCACGAAUGGCGUAACGAUGGCCCUACUGUCUCCUCCUGAGACUCAGCGAAGUUGAAAUGUUUGUGAAGAUGCAAUCUCCCCGCUGCUAGACGGAAAGACCCCGUGAACCUUUACUGUAGCUUUGCAUUGGACUUUGAAGUGGUUUGUGUAGGAUAGGUGGGAGACAUUGAAGCAUGGACGCUAGUCUGUGUGGAGUCGUCCUUGAAAUACCACCCUGACCCCUUUGAGGUUCUAACCUUGGUCCGUUAUCCGGAUCGGGGACCGUGCAUGGUAGGCAGUUUGACUGGGGCGGUCUCCUCCCAAAUUGUAACGGAGGAGCUCGAAGGUCGCCUAGGUACGGUCGGACAUCGUACUGAUAGUGUAAUGGCAUAAGGCGGCUUAACUGCGAGACAGACAAGUCGAGCAGGUGCGAAAGCAGGACAUAGUGAUCCGGUGGUUCUGAAUGGAAGGGCCAUCGCUCAACGGAUAAAAGGUACUCCGGGGAUAACAGGCUGAUUCCGCCCAAGAGUUCACAUCGACGGCGGAGUUUGGCACCUCGAUGUCGGCUCAUCACAUCCUGGGGCUGUAGCCGGUCCCAAGGGUAUGGCUGUUCGCCAUUUAAAGUGGUACGUGAGCUGGGUUCAAAACGUCGUGAGACAGUUUGGUCCCUAUCUGCAGUGGGCGUUGGAAAUUUGAGGGGGGCUGCUCCUAGUACGAGAGGACCGGAGUGGACAGAUCUCUGGUGUACCGGUUGUCACGCCAGUGGCAUCGCCGGGUAGCUAAAUCUGGAAGAGAUAAGCGCUGAAAGCAUCUAAGCGCGAAACUCGCCUCAAGAUGAGAUUUCCCCAAGGCUUUAAGCCUUUUAAAGGGUCGUUCGAGACCAGGACGUUGAUAGGUCGGGUGUGGAAGCGCAGUAAUGCGUUAAGCUAACCGAUACUAAUUGCCCGUAAGGCUUGAUCCU
rnacentral:rRNA from 1 species